CUCCAGCCUGGGCGACAGAGCAAGACUCCAUCUCAAAAAAAACCAACAACAACAACAACAACAACAACAACAAAAAGACCACUAGCUAGACUAAUAAAGAAGAAAAGAGAGAAGAUCCAAAUAAACACAAUUAGAAAUGAUAAAGGAAAUGUUACUACUGACCUCACAGAUAAAAAAACAACCACCAGAGACUACUAUGACCACAUCUACACAUACAGACUAGAAAACCUAAAACAGAUGAAUAAAUUCCUGGACACAUACACCCUCCCAAGACUGAGCAAGGAAGAAAUUGAUUCCCUGAACAGACCAAUAAUGAGCUCCGAAAUUCAAUCAGUAAUAAAUAGCCUACCAACCAAAAAAGGCCAGGACCUGAAGGACUCACAGCUGAAUUCUAUUAGAUGUGCAAAGAAGAGCUGGUACCAUUCCUACAGAAACUAUUCUAAAAAAUUGAGCAGAAAGGACUCCUUCCCAACUCAUUCUAUGAGGCUAGCAUCAUCUUAAUGGUAAACUUUCAAUGACUCUCCACCACCAAGAGGAUGAAUUUCUAUCUCCUUAGAAUGGCAUAUAAAGCCAUUUGUGAUUUGGCCCUGGCUUCCCUCUCCACUCCAGCAGCUGUACUUAAGUACUUGUAGGUCCCUUAGGGAGCCAUAAUUUGUGGCAUUUUUACAUGUUACUUCCUUGGCAUAUAUAUUUUAUUUUAUUUUUGUCAGGCCCACACCACUUAGAUGUUGCUGACUCUAGUAAAGCUUCCCUUACUCCCCAGGUGCUGGGCUAAGUACCCCUAUUCUGGGAACCCUUCUGCUUACCAUAUCACAGCACUUCCGUGACUUCAUAAUCGUCUGUUUACUUGCCAUUUCCUCUAUUAAAUUCUGAGCUCCCUGAUGGGAGUAUUCAUGGUUAGAGUCUCAGUCUCUAUUACGGGCCCUAGUACACUUCAGGAACUCAAAAGCUUUGCUGAUAUAAUGCAAGGUGAUAAAAAAGUAGAAAGACUUGGGAUAAUCUUGAUUUCUGAAGGCAUCAAACGGGAAUUAGAGAAAGCAGCAGGAAAAACGAAGGCCUUUUUAAGUUCCAUGAGAACUACGGUUUGCAAGACUGGUCAAAACAGUACAAUGCAAGCGGCAAGAAUCAGGAAGUGCACAGAAACAAGAAGCUCGGUGCACACUGGGAUCAGGCAAGCAUCUGGGAGAAGACUGUAGCAAGACUGGAUCCUGAGGAAAGAGGCACUCUGAAUUCAAAGGCUGUUUGAAUGAACUGACUGCUUCAGCACUGUCUUGUAGAUAUAGUCCAUUCAAAUAAAAGACAAAUAUCUGACUGAAUUUUGUUAGCACGUUAAGACAUGUAUUAUAAAAAGGUUUAAGAAGAAAAUAAUGGCCACAAUUCUUCAGAAAACAUGUGAACUAAUGUGACAAAACACUGUGGUGUUGCAAACUCAAGUGCUGCUCUGGCCAAGUCACCUCGCUGAAAUCUCCACUUCCACUUGUGCAACCUACCAAGCCACUCUCUACACAGCUGCCAGAGUGAUUACAAAAACAACGCGGGAUUAUGCUACCCCUGCUUAUCUAAAAUUUGUCAAAAUGCCCGUUACACUUUGAAUAAAAUACAGAUUCCUCUCAGAUCUCAUUUCUUAUCAUGUCUUUCUCAAUCAUUAUGUUCCAGCCUCACUGACCUUCUUUCUGUUCCUGUAAAAUAUUCCUGCCUCAAGGGCGCAGGCCUACGACCUGCAGUUCUCUUUUUCCCACAUGUGACCAGGCUCUCUCUUAGCCAUCAGGUCUCAAAUAAGCUCUUUCCGUUCUGUCUAGGCAUCUUAUCAAAAUCAACCUGUGUAUUAUUAUUCAUUUAUCACAUAAUCUUGUUUUAUUUUCCUCAUAGCACUCUCACUUUCUGAAAUUAUCUUUGUUUAUAUGUUUAAUGCCCUUCUUUUCCACUAGAAUGGAAACUCAAAGAUCAAGAAACUUAUCUGGCCUUUUCACUGUUGAAUUGCCAAAAUUUUGAACAGUGCCUAACAUACAGUAAAGGCUCAAUAAAUAAAUAAAUAAAUGUUCAGCUCUCUUGGCUGUCUCUGCAGUGAUCAAGAAUAUUUUGAUGUCUCUCAAAAGAACUAUAUGCUUAUAGUAGCCU
rnacentral:lncRNA from 10 species